AUGCAGAACGACAUUGGACAUCCCUGUCUGCUUGUCACUGUUUGCUUGGAGAGGCGAGAAGGACUUUCUCUUUUUCUCUCUGUCCUUUGCAUGGAUGUUUUGACUCUAGGUCAGAUCUCCACUGGCAGUAACAGAGCACUUCUCUCUGAUUCCUCUAAUGAGGCUCAGCCAGAAGAGUUAGAGCUCUUGACUGGGUUUCAAGCAGCGAGUCCGGACUAACUUCACCAGGUACGUGUACGCUGAUAGAUGAUGAUUUCUUUGAUGGUUUGUUGAAUUCUGAUGAUCUGCUCCUUUCGUGCAGUACUGAACUUGAGACUCCCCCAGAACCAAAACCUACUCAGUCUCCUGUACCUCUCCCAAGAAAGGAUUCUCCUAAAAAUAACAAUAAGCCUGUUAGCAUGCACGAGCCUAAGGUUCGUGUGUUUCAAGAUGGUCGGAAAUUAAAUGAUGCCGCCGUUGAAAGAAAUCGUAAAAAUGCCAUAGCAGCACGCGCCAAUAGACAGAAGAAGAAAGAGUAUGUAAGUAAACUAGAGGAGCAGGUAGAGUCUCUGUCAGCUGAAAACAAAAGUCUCUUUGAGAGAUGCAGAGGUCUAGAGGGACACGUCUCUGAUCUAAAACAAGAGAGGGUUGCCCGACAUUAAAGGAGUGUCUCUACAGUCUUCUUUCUCCUCCACAGCAGGUAGCAAGAGACAGAGGAGCUCUGGAGCUGAAGAAGUGCCUCUCCAAUUUAAAAAGCUGGUGAAGUAGCCUCUUUAGAACUAUGUUCACACUGCAGUCUAGCAGCUGGAAGAAGAGAAAGACCACCAUUACAGUAAGACUGGAUUUGGUGUUUUAAAUACAAUGACUCGACUUGAAAUUGUAAGACAAUUUCCAAUUUGUUUGUGUUUGUGGUUUGUUUUAACUUGCCUGUAGUUCAUAUUUAAUAAUUCUGUGUUUCGUGUCCCUCCAUCUAAA
rnacentral:misc_RNA from 1 species